UCAGAUUGAACGCUGGCGGCAUGCCUUACACAUGCAAGUCGAACGGCAGCGGACCUUCGGGUGCCGGCGAGUGGCGAACGGGUGAGUAAUAUAUCGGAACGUACCUUUCAGUGGGGGAUAACGUAGCGAAAGUUACGCUAAUACCGCAUAUUCUGUGAGCAGGAAAGCAGGGGAUCGCAAGACCUUGCGCUGAUUGAGCGGCCGAUAUCAGAUUAGCUAGUUGGUGAGGUAAAGGCUCACCAAGGCGACGAUCUGUAGCGGGUCUGAGAGGAUGAUCCGCCACACUGGAACUGAGACACGGUCCAGACUCCUACGGGAGGCAGCAGUGGGGAAUUUUGGACAAUGGGCGCAAGCCUGAUCCAGCCAUGCCGCGUGAGUGAAGAAGGCCUUCGGGUUGUAAAGCUCUUUCGGCCGGGAAGAAAUCGCACAGGUUAAUACCCUGUGUGGAUGACGGUACCGGAAUAAGAAGCACCGGCUAACUACGUG
rnacentral:rRNA from 1 species